AGGAUCAUAUCUAAUUUGUUUUUUAAAGAUUUUUCAAUUAGAUCCUCUACCUUCUUUCAAAGAUUCGAAUCUGAGUUACUCUUUUACUCUUCUCCUAUUUUCAAAAACCUCUUUUUCAGAAUUAAAAGAUUUCAUAUCACUUUAUGGACAUUCAGGAGAAUCUUGAUCAGGUUUUGAAGUAAUCCCCAAAAAGUUCCCAAAUACUGUGAGCAAUGGUCACAUUAUUACUACACUGAUGGAGGAAAGUCCCUGAGUUCAUUAGGAUUUAAGGAAUAUGGAGAAGAAGAAUGCCCCUCAGUAGACCCCCAAGAAGACUUCAGAUAUAUAUGGAACAGUGUUCAGGUACCAGAGAAACAUAUGAGUCCACUCUCUUUGCCCUAGUGUGUCUCUGCCUCUCUGUUGUGUUCACUGUGAUUCUCUCCUUCUGAGACUGUUGACUGCCGUCUCUCUUUCCUACAAUUCCCUACCCCAUGACCUGUAUUUACUGGUGGCUUCCAUUGUCUCAUUGCUUUGGCUUCUUCUCUCUGGGUCUUUUGUAUCCUUCUUGGUGUCUCAUGCUCAGAUGUUCUAGAAAGGAUGAUCUUAGUGGUCUGUCAGUCACUACCCAGUGAAGUGUAUCUUUGAUGCACAGAGUGAUUGACCUAGAUCCCUCCCACUUAGUGGGGCAGUCCAUAGAUGACUGUAGGGCAGGGAGAAAAAGGAGCCUGAAUAGUGACAUGUUAUCCCCAUUUGGAACCUGUUUUCUCUUAGUCAUCUGUUUGUCCUUAAUAUGCACUGGCAUAUGGAUGUCCAGGCAUCAGGGAUACUGCUCAAACUAUAGGUGCCCUCCCCAUUAUUGAGGUCAACAACCAAUGGAUAUCAACUCGGUGAAUCAAUAUGGUGAAGAAAUGCUAGCUGUGGCCCAAUUACUGGGAGCUGACUAUAAAAUAUUUCUAGAGGAAAACAAACACAGAUGUCAUUAGGCAUUAUAUAGGCGUGUUCUUGUUAAGAGCUUGUUCGGAGUGGGAACACGGGUAGCUCUGGGAGCCCUGCUGACCAUUAUCUUCCCAUUCAGGAAGGCCUUGGGUAAAUUGCAACAUGAUCUCCAGUGUCCACUUCCCAUUUGUUAUUCAGACAAUAAAACGGAUAUAACUCCAUGCAUGACCUUGGAUUUUAAAGAGGUAUCUUGGCUAGCGUUUUGGACUGAAAACAACAACAACAGAAAAUAGUCAUCAAAUCAGUAUGCUCCUCUUCAGAGCCACGGAUCUCUCCAGAAGAUUAUGCCUUGUGGACACAGCUGCCUCUUGGGGCUGAAGGGGUAGCUCACCUCUGGCUUAUUUUGGUCCAUGCUUGCUAGGUGCUCCAAGGGAGUUAACUGGAAUCAGCAGUGGCCUCCCUGAAUUCCGUGGAAAAGACAAGAUGCAUAUGCUUCUGCUAUUACGGUGCUCAGUGUUUGGAAAGGAGCAGUUUUGCAUUGUUAUGCAAACACCAAGGUUUGCAACGUGACCAGAUUUAUUUAUGGCCUCUGGAGAGAUGUACUACUUCUAGUGCUGACAGAGUGAUGGCAAAGUCCAGGAGAUCCCCAGAUGGUCUCAGUUGUCCCGGACACUUAGCCAGGCACAAGGCAUUUGCAAAGCUGCUUUUCCCAGGUGUGGGUUUUCAGUUUCUGGCGAUUCCUUCCAAGUGUGAAGCUGGAUCAUACUGGGGAAGACUGUGUGGGUCAGGUCUUCCAGGAUCCUGGCAGCUGCUGAGCAAGUGAGGAAACAAAGAGCCCCUCAGUGUGGUGGGUGAGCGUCAGAGCCGGAAAUCCAGGGAGGGCAUGACAUUGAGCCUUCCAACGUCCAAUCUUUCCAACGUCUUCACAGCCGGAUCUCCUUGUCAGAGCUCUGGAAGAAUGGUAUUUUGUUUCCUCCCCUCCAUUGGCAAGCGAGUCCCAGGUAUCCAAAUGCAGCAAGACAGGACACAUCUUGUAAAGAUUUGCUGCUUAAGUGCUGAACAUGUUCAGACAAGAAGGAAGAAAUUGUUCAAAAAGGAGAUGGGAAGAAAAACAAUUCUCUGAAUAUGGAGGAGUAUCUGUGUCAGGAUGAAGAAAUUGGCAAGUGGAUAAAUGUGACAAAACAGAAAAAGAGAAGGAAAGAAAAUUCACUAGGGUAGGAGCUAUGGAAAGGCCUGUAAAAUUAAGCUGUACCUUUACUGGAAGAUACAAAAUACUAGGCCAGGUGAAAUCCUAAUGAUGCAAGAAACACAUGCACAUUGCUAAGUAGAAUAACCACAGUUGUAACUCUUGGGAAAUAACAAUGGUUAAUAUCUUUUGAACUGGGGCUCCAGAAAAAGGUAAAUUGACAUGCUUAUCCAGGAGCUGAGCAGUUUUCUGGGGGCAUAAAUCUCAGCCAUAAAUGAGACCUGCUUGGACUCAUUAAACCCACUAAUCAUUAACUCCAGCUGGGAGGGAAGGAACAAAGGAGAAAUUUGUUCCCAAACCAUGUUCCAAAAGAAGGGAAAAAAGGUUCUGUGCUGAGUUAAGCUCAGGCAGUGUCAUAUGCUAAAUCUUUGCUUUUGGAGAGUCUCAGGAAAUCAACCUGGUAGACUUAGUUUAGCUUAAACUUUUCCAAAUAUAUUUGACCAUGGUAUACUUUUUCAGUAACAUAUACAUUAAAGUAUGGAACAAACUUUUUGUGAAUGUAUGAUUCUUGAAUAUCUGGUAAUGCUCAUUGGCCUGUCAAGUGAUUUGAUAUUUACAGAGGAAAAAAAAAAGAAAGAAAUACUUUUAUUUGUACAUAUUUCACAGCUUUGAAAUAGAAGAUUCUUAGAUUUUCAGAAAUUCAGUUAUUUUCUUAUAAUCUUGUGUGUGCUACACAUACUAUAUCAUCUGUUCAUCCUGCCUUCGAUUCAGUUAUUAGAAAAUAGAUGGUUUUGGCUGAAGUAUUUUCUAACCGCUUGCUUAUUGCAUAAGCUAAGUUCAUGUUUUCUUUUUAUAGUUGCUAUGCAUUUUAGCCCCAGUUGAUGAAAAUUGAUUAAAAUGUUGUACAAUAGAAUAAACACCAUGAUAAAUAUUGUAAAGGGAAUGUAUCUUCUCAAAAAUAAUAGUGUGGAUAUAGAACACAAAUCUGCAUUGUCUCAGAAAAGUAAUCACUCGUAACAUAUUCACCUGAGUGGCCAAAAAAGAAAACUACAUGUAAAAGGUACGUUGAAUAUUCAGAUGGAUACACUGAGGUGCAAUUUUAUAGGAUCUACGAUCUAUUUCUAGAAUUCUGUCACAUACAAACAAACUCUGUUUAUUAUGCUCUUUUCAAAGUGCUGACAAAUCAGUCAAUCAAAUCGAUCUAGAUUCUUCUAAAAUAGGAAUCGGAAUAAAAUUAUGUUUAUUCAGAGAACUGCUGGGAUCUCCAAGUUGUCACAGCACAGCAACCACAAACUUCGGGGCCAAGAAAGGGAAGGAAAAGGGGGAAAAAAAUUAAUGAGCUGGAAAGCUGGAGAAACUCCAAAAUCUUUGGGGAAUAGAAAAAAUUUACAUGACAUAGGAAAUUCUUGAAUCAUGUUAUUAAGUCAGGAAGACACAACAUUUACUGUGGGAUUUUUUUGAUCCUACAUUCCUCAAAAAAAGAAAAAGUAUGUCGUGCUAUUGCCAGAAAGAUGAUAAACUAGCAUAAUUAAAGUUGAGAAAGAAAAGAAAAUUUGCAGGUUACAGUUUUUGAGUCAAGUAAUAUUGUAGAGCGUUGCCUAAUAUCAAGGAUAUAUGAUUUACAAAGGCACUUACCAUCACACACUUACUAAAUACUUAGCAAUUUCAGUUGGACAAAACCAGUGAUGUGCUCGACAUGAACGCAUUCUCUGCAAAGAUGCAGUCCAUUUGAGAAAGAAAAGUGCUCAAUGACUGUCUCUUGGUCAUCACUAAAUAUAAUGCUAACAGAGAAAUUAAAAAAAUUGUUAAUAAUGAUAAUAAAAAAAUUGUUCAAAAAAUGUUAAUUGUUAAUUGAGUUGUACUGCAGACUCGCAAAGUUGUUCUGAGAUAGGCAUGGGAGAGCAUGUGCUACUUGUACAGGAAGGAAUGGCCUUAGUGGGUAGAUUGCUUUGAAUGCCAGGAACCAACAGCUUUAGUCACAGAAAAUGUUUGAUUGGAAACAGUUUCUCUUUACAAUUACAAAAACAACCACAUUAUUGUGAGCAUUCAUUCUUCUUUUCAGUGUGUUUGACUGAACAGCUUGUAUGAGACUGAUUUUUUUUUACUGGAGUCUUCCAGCUGUCGGUGAAAAACAGAGAGAGAGAGAAAGCAUGAGCCAGGGAGUGGCAGAAAGAGACGGAGACACAGAAUCUGAGUUGUCAGCACAGAGCCUGACGCGGGACUGGGACCCAUGAACCGUGAGAUCAUGACCUGCGCCGAAGUCCGACGCUUGACCAACUGAGCCACCCAGGAGUUGGAUGGAGAGUUUCACCAAGCCACAAAUUUUUGAGCUGAGUUUUGAGCUGGAUCUCAAGAUGAGUAGGAAUUUACCAAGGGAGGAAAAAAAAAAAAAAAGGAGAGAGAAGAGAGUGCUUCGCCAGCAGAGAAAGCAAGCAGCAUGGACCACAGGGUCAUCAAGUGAACACUGAUGAGGCCACAACCAUGCUACUGGUCCAAUGCACUGAGACGGCCAUUAGCCCAUCCAGUGAAACUGAAUGUAAGACCAGAAAGGAACCUUGGAGGUGACAACUGCCAGACUGAGGUGAGAUGCAGUGUGAACGUGGAGCCGGUACGGGUAGGGGGUUUUUGGUGAACUCGAAUAUGAUAGUAGGUUUUUGAAGGGAUAGACAAUAGGGCCCUGGGGACUUGUAUCACCACCUUCCUUAUCCACUCCAUCCCCUUGUUAUUUAUCCUGUUGUGUCCUCAUGAGCUUUCUAUCUGGAUUCUUAGUCCCGGCCUUUCAAAUCCUGCAGGAAUGACGCCAUUGCCCUUGGGCCUUGAGUCUGAUCUCAUUCCUCCAACCUGAUGUACAAAGUGUGACUAGAGAGUCCUGGCCUGAGCCCUAUUGUGAAAUGAAAGGUCAUUUUUAGCAUAUGGAAUCCUUGUCCCUCAUCGAAAAAAAAUUUCUCUCCCAGUAUUAAGCUCUCGCUCUAAAAUUCAACAACACUGAAAUCUUUAUGAAUGUGUGAAAGCCGUAUAUAUUACCACUUACUGACAAGCAGUGAUGACUAUAUCAGAAUAAGUCAAAAUUAGUUUAAAAAUAAAUUUAUUUGGCCAUAAAUAUAUCAAUGUGACAAGAGUGACUGAGUUUGCUAAUCGUUAUUCUUGGUUUUACAGAUAUGAAAUUUCUCUUCAAAGGCGAGUGAGAAGGGGGUGAUAUAGAGAUCGGGAGAUGAAUGAACUCCUGAAGUUUACUUUGGAAAAAUUCUGGUUUUUAAACCACAUCCAGAUUAUCAGUGCGGUGCUUUGGAAAGUAUCACGUGAGUUACAGUAAACUGCCCUGGUUAAAACAGAAAAAAAAAAGAGGGCAUCAAUAAUUAAAAUGUUGAAUGAGAGGCACCUGGGUGGCUCAGUUGGUUGAGCGUCUGACUUCAGCUCAGAUCAUGAUCUCGCAGUUGACAAGUUCGAGCCCCACGUCAGGCUCUGUGCUGACAGCUUAGAGCCUGGAGCCUGCUUUGGAUUCUGUGUUUCCCUCUCUCUCUGCCCCUAACCUACUUCCAUUCUGUCUCCAUCUCUCUCAAAAAUAAAUAAACAUUAAAAAAAUUUUUUUUUAAUGUUGAAUGAGAUUUAAAUAUACGACCCCUAGUUUUUGUUCCAGAUUUGUUGGAGAUCACUGUUGUCCACUGUCUUGGCCAUUAGGGGACUGAUGUAGGAAGGGUGGAUACAAGUAUUUUCAGCUUGAAAAACAUUUAUGGUAAGGCUGUGUUAUAAUUGUACGGACAAAAGCCCGUUUUUAGAUAUACAGUUCACCUGAAUGAAGAGCUAUUUAACCUCUACUAUGGGAAGACGCUCUUGACAGAUGUUUGGCAGUUGAAUGUGGCAUGGAGGGAGCUAUCUCAGGCUGGGAUAAAGUAUGUAAAUAUAGUCCAUACCAUAGUAAUUUGUUACUGGGCAAAGAAAGUCACUGGUAUGCGACUCUAUAGUACUUAUUCUGGGUCUUACUUGGAUGUCUUGUGCACAGCGUAGACCUUAAUAGCAGCCAUCUCCCAUGGAGGGUUCAUGGCAGCGUGGCAGGUUAGGAAAAGUGGGGGAGACAUAACUUGUAAUCCCUUAGACAGUUUGUGGAGAUUAGUUGUUCUCUCAGCUUCUCAAGAGGAGAAGAGACUGAUGGGCAAAGCAAAAGAGAAAUCUGGAAGGUGAUAUACAGAACACAAAGUGGCUAUGCUGCACUGUUUCCACUAAGCCUCCCAGAGUGAGUCACAGCAGGAGAUGCAGAUUGAAGCAUAUCAAGGUGUUCUUCAAGAAGUUAUCCAAAUGCAUAAUGUCACACACUGGGAGAACUUGACCACCUCCAGUUGUGAAAUAGAAGAAUGGCUACUCUUUCCUUUACCAAAAUUGGAUAGCUUGUUGUUGGUGAGACCAACCUAUAUGGUGUCUUCUUUCUCCCCAGCUGAAUGGUGGGCAUAACUUUUGCCUCUACAUUCCUCUGUAGACCAGGAAGGGAAGUUGAAUCCAGUGGUGAUGUGAGAAAAUGGUCCCGGAAUUUUCAGAGUACACAGGUUCCUCUGGUCUAUGGACGUGAACUCUAGGGUGGUUGGAACAAAGCCACUUAUACCUAGUCUCCUCUUGAGUUCUCUUUCUGAGGACCUGGCUGUGAGGCAGUGUAUGUUGCCUGGACCCUGUGAGGUCUGUUCCAGCGCCUGGUCUCCCCUGCUCUGCAGAACAUGAGCUGAGAAAAUGUGCUGUAGUCAGAGACAACCCCACCAAGAAGAGUGGAGUCAGCCUGGAGAAGAUAGGAAGCUGCUAUACCUGGAGAUGCUGGACAUGCAGACAGCAGGACUGACAAGCCGAUGAUCAAGGAAGUCACUAGAAGCGAGAGACAGGGAGGAAGGUAGGCCUCAUACUUCAUAGUGAAGAGGCAGAGGCAUAUCCUUGGACUCACAUUACUUCAGAGAAGAAAGUACAUACAUCUGUCAGACAGUUAAGGAAAGAUAGCCAAGUUGAAGCAUGUUACGGUAAAAUAGGAUAGAAAAAGGAUUUUUCGAUACAAUGAAUUGCCUCAGAUCUGACAGGGAGAUGUGACUGGCAUUAUACCUUUAAUAGCAUUUAAGACUAAUAAGACAACUGACAUAGGCUUGGCCAAUUUAAAAAAAAAAAAAAUACUGGAAAAAAAACCCCCAAAUCUCUCAUAGUGAAGGGAAUGCUGUAUUCCUUUAUAUUUUUUCCCUCUGGGCGGGCAUGGAGGACAUUUGUUACUUCUCUGUGGAGAAUGUCAGAUUUUCAGGUAGCCAUGAUGCGAGUGUGAAUCAUCUUCUGUAGAUCAUGAAAAGGCAAUUUUAAAGUAGUGAAACCAAGGUGAUUUUGAAGGAAAUGUUAUAAGGAAUUAUAAUGAACAAUGAUUGAAAAUGGAGGUUUGGGCCGUGGAACCUGUAUCUUUGAACUUACCCAGCAUGGCCUGUGGGAAAAAUAAAAGAGAAGCCCUGAUGAGGCAUGGUCUGACUUGAUCUGAUACACAAUUAUAGAAAGGAUGCAUUCAUAUUACAAUAUUGCAAACAGGGAAAGAACUGUAUAUGAUAGUACAUCAAAAAAGUGUGUUUGAGAUCCAACACCUUGAUACUAAAAGAGAUAUAGUCACAGGGCACCUGGGUGGCUCAGUCAGUUAAGCGUCCGACUUCAGCUCAGGUCAUGAUCUUGCAGUUCAUGAGUUCAAGUCCAGCACUGGGCUCUGUGCUGACAGCUCAGAGCCUGGAGCCUGCUUUGGAUUCUGUGUCUGCCUCGCCCUCUGCCCCUCCCCCGCUCAUGCUCGGUCUCUGUCUCUCAAAAAUAAAUACACGUAAAAAAAAAAAAAAGAAAUAUAAUCAGUGCAUGAAAACCACUAGUUAGAAACUUAUACUGUUCUGUACAUGAUUUUAAAAUAUCAAGAUAGGGGCACUUGGGUGGCUCAGUCACUUAAGUGGCCAACUCUUGAUUUUGACUCAGGUCAUGAUCUCAUGGUUUGUGAGUGUGAGCCCUGCGUUGGGCUCUGUGCUGACAGCACACGGAGCCUGCUUCAGAUCCUCAGUCUCCCUCUCUCUGUCCUUCCACUCGUGAGCUCUCUCAAAAGUAAAUAAAUGUAAAAAAAAAUUAAAACCAUCAGAAUAAAUAUUUUUAAAUGUUCUCAUGCACAUUGGAAAGCCUGAAAGUCCAUGCAUUGCUUUGAUGUCUCUGAGCCUCCCCCUCUCCCCCCCCCAGAGCCUCGCUGGGAGUUCCCUCCUUUCCUCAGGUCUGUCCCCAACCAGUGAGAAAUCUCACACUGGGUAGUUCCCUAUCAUCUGGCCUCACUGCCCCCGACCUGGACCUCAACCUAAUAGGUUCACUUUUCUGCAGGCCAGCCAAAUUACCAAGACAAUUCCAUCCAUCUGUAGGGACCAGGGGUCACCUCCCACUCUUGCCACUACAGAGCCUGAGUCUCAUGGCCCCUGCUGGUUCAUCUUGCCAUGUGGGCCUUGCAUGCAACUCCCAUGUGGGCCUUGCAUGCCGUGUAGUGCCCUCCUCCCCCAGGCUGGGAGUAUUGUAAGUGACCCAGAGCCAUUAUUGAGGACUGUGCAUUUGACCAUCUCAUACCUUUUAGGGCCUGGGAUCCCUACUUCACCAACAGGGUGAAUGGGAGGUGGUCAGGAUAGCAUGUAGGCAUAAGCUUUGGUGUUUCUCCUUCCUUUCCCAAAUGCAUCCUGGCAGCCCUUUUAGCUCCAACCAAGGUCAAAUCAGGACUUGGUCUCUUAGGAAGUUUUUGCCGUGUUAUCAAUGUUUGCAAGUGAGUUAUAGGUUCUCCCCGUACACUGCAAGGUCCUAUACUUUCUUUGUAAAAGAUAGCUCAUUAAGCUCUAAUCCAAUAGCCCAAUAAAAAAGGAACAAUAGAGACAAAACAGUUGAAGAAAUCAUAAUGCAUUUUAUAAUUCUUCCCGAAAUCUGGUCCAAGCUGGCCUGGUUAGAAAUCCAUUUCUAAGAAGAAAGAACUACUUUUAAAAAGAAAAGAACUUUUAUGAACCCUUGCUAUUAUGCAUGGCGCAGAGUUAUAUGAAGAAAAUAAAUCAUUCUAAUAUGUUUACCAAAGCUUAUAGUUACUCGUGACAAUAAGAAUGGGUGUUAAGUCCAUAGAUUAGGGGUUGCAAACACAAUUCAUGACAAGAACCAGGCAGGUAAUUAAAUGGCUGAAGCAGGGUGGAGGAUGAUCUAAUUUUAAAUGUUGGCAACUAAUUAAAAUGUAUUAAAAGUCCUGCAUAAGCCAAACAAAACACAUCUGGGGACCACAUGUCCAAGGGCAAGCCUAGAGCAACUUUUGGAAUCCUGUUCAUUCUUCAAGGCCUGAAUUGUGGGCAUGCCCUUCCAAGAAUCCUGUGACUGCAGGGGUGGGUCAGGCUGAGCCUGCCCUUCCUGGAGCUUUUAUUGAACUGGUCAUGAGAAGUACAAACGAUGGGCCUUUUGUUCCCUCACUGUUGCCUCAGUGGGGCUUUUAUUCCUCGUAGGAUUGAAGGUCCUUGGGAACAGAGACGAUGUUUUAUGUUUCUCUCAUUGUUUUCACACCUUUUAGGUCCUGACUCAAUAAUAAUAAUAAUAAUAAUAAUAAAUAUAAUAAUGGCAGCAGCUACCAUUUAUAAAGCUCUUUCCGUGAGUCUGACCCAUUUCUGUUUUUUAAAUUUUUUUUUACAUUUAUUUAUUUUUUGAGAGACAUAGAGAGACAGAGCACAAGUUAGGGAGGGGCAGAGAGAGAAGGAGACACAGAAUCUGAAGCAGGCUCCAAGCUCCCAGCUGUCAGCACAGAGCCCGACAUGAGGCUCAAACUCACAAACUGUGAGAUCAUGUCCUGAGCCAAAGUCGGACGCUUAACCAACUGAGCCACCCAGGCGCCCCGAGUCUGACCCAUUUCUAAUGGGUUUUACUUAUAGGAUUUAAUUUUCACAAUCCUUGUGAGGGAGGUACUAUUGUCAUCCCGUUUUACUGCUUGGCCAGCUGAGGCGCAGAGAAGUGAAGUGACUGGUCAAGGUCGCCCAGCUGGUGAGAUGUGGAGCCAGUUAAUUUGGCCAGUCGGAUUCCAUAGCAUGUGUGCUCAGGCACUACAGUACAACUAUUAACUAGUUCAACAUAGCUGUUUUCUAGCUAAGAAUUUUAAACUUUUUUGCGCCACAAUGUUUCGCACAUAGUGCUAGUGACUCUUAAGAUGGUGAGCUGAAAAACCUUUCUGUUUUAUUUCCACCUCUCUUCCCUUUCUGUCUUGUGUCCGCUUUUGAUUCCUAAUAAGGAAUGGAAUAGUGGAAUUAACAUAGAGCAACGAUAUCCGUAAGAUGCCAAAAUAGCCACAUAAUUUGUUCGUAUUCUUUGCUCAAAACUAAGCGGAUGUCAGUGCAGGCUCACCAGUCUGGAAGUUUUGUGUGGGCUCUCCGCAGCGGAAUCGCCAAAUAAGAGAUACUGAAUAGUUUUGCGAGAAGAACUUGAGAGGAAAGAGGGAAGGUCGCGGAGGUGAGGAGUUUGCUCUUUCUGCAGUUGACAGCGGUGAAUAAAUUACUGGUGAGAUGAACUGGGAAAGGGUCUAGGGUUUUGUGACUGCAGGCAUAUCAAUAUUUGACCCCUGCUUCAUUAGUGUUUCUUCUCUAGGUGGAAGAGAAACGAUUCAUGCAUCAGACUUUUUCAUUGUGUAUUCAGGAUCAUAAAACAUAUUUGAUAAACAUUUCUGAGACCAAGUUGCUCUGAGAUUGUGUUAUCGUUACUAACUAUUCUUUGUGUAAUAGCAGAACUUGUUUUGUAAGACACAAAUGACCCUAUUCUCCUGGUCUGAAUGGAAGAUGGACAUUUGCUCGUCACAUCCACCCGUGUAUGUUCUGUAAAAAUGACAGAAUUCUGCUUCUGUCCCCAGUGGAGCAAUGCAGACUGCAUUUGCCUAUCCACGUUAAAUAACCAAAUCUAGAAAAAUAAUUCAAACAAUGGGUUGCAGAAACAGGACACCAGGCAGCACAGGAUACUGAUCCACAAUAGAGGAGAAACAAACAAGAACCUACAUAGGAAGAAAGUACUCCUUGACGAACUCACCCACAAAAGAACAUAUAUGUAAAGAAUUUCUCUAUGUGAAUAAAUAAUUUUGAUAAAACACAUCAUUAAAUGAAGAAUGAGGGCAUCAGGAAUCUUUCAUGUACCUUUUGCUUCUGUGAUGGAUCUUUAGGGGAACAUUUCUCAAUGUUGCAGUUAGAACUUCACAUCUUUGAUUCUUUUGGAUUUGGAAGGUGUCUUCUUUGAUUUCUAUAGAAUGGUCUGGUUUCCAUUUACCAGAAGGUACAGAUAGAAGAAAGAGAAGACUAUUUGGUGAAAAACUACAUGAUUCGUAAUAUUUAGAAGACAAUUUAUUCUGAUCAGCUGAAUAACCCUAAUCAAAAUGUGUGAACUCUGACAUUAUUUUGUUCUCCACUUGGAAAUGAUUUCUGUCCUUGGACCUUGAUCCACAUGUUGCAAAAGAAUAUUUUAAAAAGAGAAUAAUUACCCACCAUUCUCUGUCACUGUGUCCAUUUUUCCCACCAAGGGAAUGGCCACUGCCACCUGAGAACAAAAAAGCUCUCUUAUUUACUAACGACGUCCUUAGUUUUCCUUUGUGUCAUUUUCCCCCUUAUGUAUGUGGCGCCUUGUGUUUUUUACGCUUCUUUGCCAUCCUGCUGUGAGGAAGAAUAGUAAUCACAUCUAAUUAGAAAAAAUUAAAAUGCUAUGACUCACAGAAAUAAUGAAAGUUGAUUAUUUUUUAUACAAGACAUAAAUCCCAGACCCACAUUUUACCCUUGAAAUUAGCUUACAAGCUGAUCAACAGCGUGGUAACGAUAUUGUGAAUGUUUAUCGUGGUGCUCUUUUUUCUACAUGCACCACGCUUCACGCUGUCAACCGUGUCAUGAAAGACUCAUCUUCUCUUAUGCAGAAAAAGAGAGGCCAGUUUGAUUUUAUUUUUAUUUUUAAUUUAAAAAAAAAAAUUCUUUUGGUUAAGUUUAUUUAUUUAUUUUUGAGAGACAGAAAGAGUGCAAGCAGGGAAGAGGCAGAGAGAGAGGGAGACAGAGAAUCCCAAGCAGGCUCCACACUGUCAGCACAGAGCCCAAAGCGGGGUUGAACUCACCAACCAUGAGAUCAUUACCGGAGACACAGUCAGGAUCCAGACACUUAACCAACUGAGCCACUCAGGCACCCCAAAAUUUUUUGAAACCUUACUUUAUAAUGUUUUGAAUUUCUCUCUUUUAGUAUGUUAAGUCACAGCAACAAAUGAUAACGGGGUAGUAUCUGUGAUUAAAAAAGAACUAACUGGGGCCCCUGGGUGGCUCAGUUGGUUGAGUGUCUGACUUGGGCUCAGGUCAUGAUCUCACAGCUUGUGAGUUUGAGCCUCACGUCGGGCUCUGUGCUGACAGCUCAGAGCCUGGAGCCUGCUUCAGAUUCUGUGUCUCCCUCUCUCUCUGCCUCACCCCCACUCGCAUUCUGUCUCUGUCUCUCUCAAAAAUAAAUAAACAUUAAAAAAAAAGAACUAACUAACAAAUGUCUUUGGUUUUCCCUUUUAACAAGCUCCAGAAGUCUGUAGAACAUUGUUUCCAAUUUUGUUCAGAUUUUUCCAGGUAAAGAGAAAUAAAAUGCAGUGUAGAGAUCAUUGCUUCCUUUUAAAUGAUGACUAUUUUUUCCCCCUUCCUCUUGUACUCAGCGUGAAUGUUCUUUCUAGUUGUAGUCCAGUUCACAAAGAUCCCUCCCGCACACAGGCAUUGUCGUCUAACAUAUGCGGGGUGACAGUGGAGCAGAGGGAGACAUUAUACACAAAUAGAUUUGUGCCAUAAACACAUAUGGGCAUAAGGGAUUGUCUAGAUGGAAAGAGAAAAAGAAGCCAACAUAAAAACUUCAAAAGGAUUGAACUGCAAUUCUAGAAUGCAAGAAAUUCUCAUUUGUCUAUCUACCUAUCUGACAUAAGAUUGUAGCUUUCUGAAAUAUAAUGUGUUAAAAUGUUUUUUUAAGUCCAAUGAUAAGAUGAUUCUGAUAACACAUCGGCAUUGUGUGAACAUGGGCCUAUUCAUCUGAGUCCGAUACCCUCUUGGGGGGAUAAGCUGCUUUUUUACUCCACAGGUGGGUGUAUGUGAGCUGCAGCCAUAUUAUAUGUAGCUAAGUCAGCGGUGACUGUAAGAAUUGGACAGCAUUAGACACUGUGAGGUGUAUUUAUGUGGUGGAACAAUUUUCCUGUGAUGUCUUCUCAGUGUGCAGUGAAGAAAAAAUAAGUUCCUGGAACUUCUAUUAACAACUUUGCUGAUGAAAAUAAGAUUGGAAUCAUGGCGGCGGGGGUGGGGGGGGUGGGUGGAGAAUAUACAAAUGUACAAAGUUACCUUUAGAGAAAGAACAUCAGUGAAUAUUAUUCCAUGCUGAAUGAAGAGAAGGAAAAUAUAGUGCCUUGUAGAAAUUGAGAGUGGCUGUUUUUAAAAAGAGCAAUUCUUUCAUUGUGAUAUUUGUAUGCUUAUCUCUUCAUUGUCUGCUUCUUUUGCAUGAAGGGGUGUUGUUGGAAAUAAAUGCGUAUCAUAAACCUAAA